rnacentral:rRNA from 1 species
CGGGCUUGAACUGUAGGUGACGGAAUCAGAGAUGGUUCUUUCUUCGGACUCCUAUGGAGGUGCUGCAUGGUUGUCGUCAGCUCGUGCCGUGAGGUGUCGGCUUAAGUGCCAUAACGAGCGCAACCCCUGCCGCUAGUUGCCAUCAGGUGAUGCUGGGCACUCUGGCGGGACUGCCACCGCAAGAUGCGAGGAGGGUGGGGAUGACGUCAAAUCAGCACGGCCCUUACGUCCGGGGCUACACACGUGUUACAAUGGGGGGCACAGAGCGCCGCCACCCGGUGACGGGGCGCGAAUCGUGAAAUCCCCUCUCAGUUCGGACUGGAGUCUGUAACCCGACUCCACGAAGCUGGAUUCGCUAGUAAUCGCGCAUCAGCCAUGGCGCGGUGAAUACGUUCCCGGGCC